GAACAAAGCUAUGUACACAAAGCCAGGUUUGAUGACAAAAUCUCAGGGAUACAAAUUCACUAAUAUUCCCAUAAAAACCCCACAUGAGGAAAAGAAUAGGAUCUUGUAGUACUUUUAAAUAAUUUAGUAAUUUCCUCUGGUCUGGAUGUAAAGAAAACCAAACAUUUUUCAAUGUCAUGUUAAGAAGAUGAGAAGAAAAAGUAUAUUUAGGAAAACAGCACUCCUUUAACAAAUGAUGUAAUUUUUGUUUCCCUCAUACAAACUGAAACAAUGAAAAAGUACAAAAUAUAUCUAUACUAUGUAUCUUUGUAAUCCUCUAUAUCUGAGCAGUCUCUUCAGGAUAAAGACAUGGCUGAAAAUUCUGAAAUAAAGUUCUAGGCUACAGAGGUCUUAGAAGUUAGCAGGGUCAAGACAGCACGAAUAUGGAGUGUGUUCAGGACUAAUGUUGAGUUUGCUCUUGUGGAUUACUACAUGAAGACCAAAGGAAAACUUGUUUUAAGUCACCAGUUCAACAUUCCACUCAAUACCUGCUUUCUUAAAACAGUGGUUUGCAUGAUUUUUGCUUCAACAGCAAGAUUCAGUGUUCAAAAUGAAUCAUAUGCUCUAGUCCAACAUAUACAUAACCAAGAUCAAAAACAAGGACUUCUAGUUGAGCUUUAAAAACAGGAAGAGAGUGGGGCUCCCUGCUAUUUAUCCCUGCCCUUCUUAGCUCUUCUAGCCUCCUGCCCUCCGAAUGCCAAAGGGAUUCCACGGAUGCUAUCAUGGAAGGGACUAACAGGGAUACUGUCAUUACCUUACACAGAACACAUUUUCCCACAGAAACCAUUUCAUGGAUAAUGUUACAACUCCCCACAUACUUCAAAAGCCAAGUCAGCCUGUUUUCAAAGAGGGAAGGCUUCAGCAAGGCAACACACAGAACUAAGGAGAUUCUGAGAGCUACCAACUGAUUCCAGGGCCAGACCAGUAAUGUUUAGGUCUUUAAGGCUAUCAGUACCACAGGACAGGUUAGAUGUGUUGGAGACAGGCUUCCCAUGCCGUGCCCCUGUGACCUUAAUAGAGCUUCCAUAUCCUCAUCUUUAAAUAGGAAUACCACUACCCAUGUCAGAGGUUUAGGAGCAUGAAAGGCCAUAGUAUGCACAGAGUGCCUCGUGUUCAGUGCAGGCCGACUGUGAGCACGUGUCCGCCUUCCUUCUGAAGCAUUAGGUCUGAGCCAGAAGAUAUAUCUGUCCUUAAAGAAUACUAUCAUUUUUUGAGGACAAUAUGCCACUACAUGUUAACUUCUUUAAUCAUUAUCAGUGUUAUUAAGAACUAUUUUACAUAUUAUAAAAUUCACCCAUUUCAAGGGUACAAUUUAAUGAUUUUUACUAAGUUUAAAGAGUUGUGUAAUCAUUGCCACAAAUCACUUUUACAGUGUUCCCAUCACCCCCAAAAGAUCUCUAGGGCCCAUUUUCAGUCUCACUAUUCCCACGCCCAAACCCAGGCAGCCACUGAACUACUAUAGAUAUUUACUGGACGUUUCAUGUAAAUGGAUUCAUAUGAUAAGUGGCUUUUUAUAUUUGGCUUCUCUCCACCAUAAUG
rnacentral:lncRNA from 1 species